CUCUGGCAUCUUGAAUUUAGGGCCCUUCAGUUUCGCAUCUGGACCUUCAAUAUUCACAUCUGGAACAUCAACGUCCACCUUGGGUCCUGAGACGUCAAGGUCAGCCUUGGGCAGGUUCACGUCCACAUCUGGACCUUCUCCUUUGAAGCCAGGCAUGCUGAUCUUGGGCAUUUUUAUCUUGGGCAUCUUUAGGUGCCAGUCUGGGCCAUGAACAUCAAC
rnacentral:lncRNA from 1 species